GGAUGCGAUCAUACUAGCACUAAAGCACCGGAUCCCAUCAAAACUUCGAAGUUAAGCGUGCUUGGGAGAGAGUAGUACUAGGAUGGGUGACCUCCUGGGAAGUCCUCGUGUUGCAUUCC
rnacentral:rRNA from 1 species